AACGAACGCUGGCGGCAUGCCUAACACAUGCAAGUCGAACGAGACCUUCGGGUCUAGUGGCGCACGGGUGCGUAACGCGUGGGAACCUGCCCUUAGGUUCGGAAUAACUCCCCGAAAGGGGUGCUAAUACCGGAUAAUGUCUUCGGACCAAAGAUUUAUCGCCUUUGGAUGGGCCCGCGUUGGAUUAGCUAGUUGGUAGGGUAAAAGCCUACCAAGGCGACGAUCCAUAGCUGGUCUGAGAGGAUGAUCAGCCACACUGGGACUGAGACACGGCCCAGACUCCUACGGGAGGCAGCAGUGGGGAAGAUUGGACAAUGGGCGAGAGCCUGAUCCAGCAAUGCCGCGUGAGGGAUGAAGGACUUAGGGUUGUAAAGCUCUUUUACCCGGGAUGAUAAUGACAGUACCGGGAGAAUAAGCUCCGGCUAACUCCGUG
rnacentral:rRNA from 1 species